GCGCCAUGGCAUGCGUGAUGCCACCUCUCAUCGAUCUCCUCUCUCUCUCUCUCGUUAGUACCACGUUCUCAGGAAAGUGUUGUUCCGAAAAGUUAACCUGAGAAGUGUCAAAACAAAACUUAGCCAAAUGGCCCGUCUUGUCCGUUUGGCUAAUAAGUUAUGGCAUAACUGUGAGAGAAAAACGCUGUUGAAUGACUGCCAUAUUUGACUGAUAAGUACUCUGAAAAGCUUGUCUUUUUCGUCUUUUUUUUCGUGUCUUCUUAUUUUAUUUUUUGUGUGUCUUCUCUACAGUUUUCUUGAUACCAACUGGUUUAUCAUUAAAGACAUUAGUGGUAUAAACUGUGAUUUCAUAAGGUUUCUCUUUUAGAAUGUUGUGCACAAGAAGUACUUAUGUGUAUAUAUAUAGUUUAUACACAUUUAUAAAAAUGGGAAGCUGUGCAGUUGAAAAUUUAUAUAAAAAAACUUAUCCCAUGAUACCAUGCUUCUACUGGCGCUACAAUCUCAGGAGACAUUAAUCAUUACAACUAAUAGAAAUUAGUUAUUCUCGUCCUCUCUUUUUUUGUUCAUUUUGUCAUAUACUAUUUUUUGUUCAUUUUAUAAUAUAAUAUAUGUACAUGGAUACUCAUAAACUUAUCAACUAAUAUUCAUAGUUUAUGUCUCUCUACAUGACACCUUCAUGUAUCUUAAAUAAUAAUCAUUAAGUUUAAACCUUACCUUAUUACGUUAUGACUCUUGUUUGCAGUCCACAUCUCUUGACGUCAAAAAUCUAGAUUUUGAAUUUUUGAAGCCAGAACUUAUAAGUUGCUGCAAAUUUCUUAUCCACAAGUUAAAUUCAAACUCUUGGGCUUAGUUUACCCUUUAUGUUAUAUUACUUUUGCAUUUCAUUAGUAUUAAGGAUUUUAGGCUAUUGUGCCCUUGAUUACUAUAAAGUGCGGAAUCUAGAAGUACAUAUAGGCGUAAUUUAGGUUAUUUAAACAUUUUUAUUUAGGAACCAUUUGUUUAGGUGUAAAUUUAAGGGAUAUUUUAGUUUAUUUUUGAAAAUAGCAAAAGUGGUUAUUAUUUAGAUUAUUUCUCAUAUUAGCAUGGUGGGUAAUUUAAAGUGCAAAUUUAGGGGGUUACUAAAUAGGAUGUUUCACAAUGGGUAAUUCUGAUACAGAUUUAGAGGUUACUUUUUAUUUUGUUCUUAUAAUGAUAGAUAUGGAU
rnacentral:lncRNA from 1 species